GCCGCGGUGACGGAAUUGGCAGACGUACACGACUCAAAAUCGUGCGGGCGCAAGCUCAUGGGAGUUCGACUCUCCCCCGCGGCA
rfam:Parcubacteria bacterium GW2011_GWA1_47_9 TY14_C0015, whole genome shotgun sequence.